AGAGUUUGAUCCUGGCUCAGGAUGAACGCUAGCUACAGGCUUAACACAUGCAAGUCGAGGGGCAGCAUGGUCUUAGCUUGCUAAGGCCGAUGGCGACCGGCGCACGGGUGAGUAACACGUAUCCAACCUGCCGUCUACUCUUGGACAGCCUUCUGAAAGGAAGAUUAAUACAAGAUGGCAUCAUGAGUCCACAUGUUCACAUGAUUAAAGGUAUUCCGGUAGACGAUGGGGAUGCGUUCCAUUAGAUAGUAGGCGGGGUAACGGCCCACCUAGUCUUCGAUGGAUAGGGGUUCUGAGAGGAAGGUCCCCCACAUUGGAACUGAGACACGGUCCAAACUCCUACGGGAGGCAGCAGUGAGGAAUAUUGGUCAAUGGGCGAGAGCCUGAACCAGCCAAGUAGCGUGAAGGAUGACUGCCCUAUGGGUUGUAAACUUCUUUUAUAAAGGAAUAAAGUCGGGUAUGGAUACCCGUUUGCAUGUACUUUAUGAAUAAGGAUCGGCUAACUCCGUGCCAGCAGCCGCGGUAAUACGGAGGAUCCGAGCGUUAUCCGGAUUUAUUGGGUUUAAAGGGAGCGUAGAUGGAUGUUUAAGUCAGUUGUGAAAGUUUGCGGCUCAACCGUAAAAUUGCAGUUGAUACUGGAUAUCUUGAGUGCAGUUGAGGCAGGCGGAAUUCGUGGUGUAGCGGUGAAAUGCUUAGAUAUCACGAAGAACUCCGAUUGCGAAGGCAGCCUGCUAAGCUGCAACUGACAUUGAGGCUCGAAAGUGUGGGUAUCAAACAGGAUUAGAUACCCUGGUAGUCCACACGGUAAACGAUGAAUACUCGCUGUUUGCGAUAUACUGCAAGCGGCCAAGCGAAAGCGUUAAGUAUUCCACCUGGGGAGUACGCCGGCAACGGUGAAACUCAAAGGAAUUGACGGGGGCCCGCACAAGCGGAGGAACAUGUGGUUUAAUUCGAUGAUACGCGAGGAACCUUACCCGGGCUUAAAUUGCAGAUGAAUUACGGUGAAAGCCGUAAGCCGCAAGGCAUCUGUGAAGGUGCUGCAUGGUUGUCGUCAGCUCGUGCCGUGAGGUGUCGGCUUAAGUGCCAUAACGAGCGCAACCCUUGUUGUCAGUUACUAACAGGUUCCGCUGAGGACUCUGACAAGACUGCCAUCGUAAGAUGUGAGGAAGGUGGGGAUGACGUCAAAUCAGCACGGCCCUUACGUCCGGGGCUACACACGUGUUACAAUGGGGGGUACAGAGGGCCGCUACCACGCGAGUGGAUGCCAAUCCCAAAAACCUCUCUCAGUUCGGACUGGAGUCUGCAACCCGACUCCACGAAGCUGGAUUCGCUAGUAAUCGCGCAUCAGCCACGGCGCGGUGAAUACGUUCCCGGGCCUUGUACACACCGCCCGUCAAGCCAUGGGAGCCGGGGGUACCUGAAGUGCGUAACCGCGAGGAGCGCCCUAGGGUAAAACUGGUGACUGGGGCUAAGUCGUAACAAGGUAGCCGUACCGGAAGGUGCGGCUG
rnacentral:rRNA from 1 species